GGAUGUGAGGGCGAUCUGACUGCGACUUCUGUCACCCCAUUGAUCGUUAGGGUUGAGUCCACUGAUCUGGCUGGCUAGGCGGGUGUCCCCUUCCUCCCUCACUGCUCCAUAUAUGCUCCCUCCUGAAGAGGCAAACCUUCUGGGAUAGAAGGAAGAACUGUCCUUCACUCGAAGUUCUACGAAGUAGCUGUGCUCCCCUGCUACAACCCUCCCAAACAAACUCUCCAAAAUCCCCCAGUACAGGAGAAGGCAGGACACUCUAAUGGUUUUAG
rnacentral:snRNA from 1 species